UUUCAACUAGGACCUUAAUCUUCUAUUUCAACAUUCUACAACAGAAUCAACAGACUUCUGGAAUAUGCCACUUCUUUUCCUUUUAUUUAUUUGGAUACCAGAAGCACUGAGCCAACCUAGAUGUGACAUUCAGUAUUGAUUAUCUGCUUACGAUGCUUUAUGUCUUUGGUAUGGUGAAAGGUGACCUGGCCUCCCUAUAUGUACCUGGAAUGAGAGGAAACGCCUCCCACCUGCAAAGAAAAAUAGACAUCCUAUAAUCUACCAUAAGAUAGAAUGCUGGAUUUUGAGUCAGGAAGACCUGAGUUUGAA
rnacentral:lncRNA from 1 species